ACGAAACAGCGACGGAGGAGGCGAGCCGAGCGCCGGAAGCAAGUGGGUCUGUGCGUGGUGGGAGCAGGAAGCUGUGCCGUGUGGCUCUAGCUGAGUUUGGUCGUUUCUCUCUUUUCUAGCCGUGAAGCAGAGUGGAAAGCUGGGUAUCGGCAGCGCAGCUCCUCUGGCAAGGCGUCACCAGCGCUGAGGGUUUGUGACCGCGCCCGCGGCACGACACGCCGACCGGACCGCCCUGGAACUCAGCAGGAGGCGCUGAAGCGGAACCCGGCGACGCGGGAAGACGGCCGUUGGCACACGUGGCGUUUUCCUCUGCCGAAGAUGGGUUCGGUCCCUCGGCCCUCUGAAAGCUAAGUGGAGGCGCGACUACUGGGAAGGGGCCGGGAAUGGCAGGGAUGGGGGGUUUAGCUCUGCUAAGGGCAAGGGCCGUCCAGGAACCGCGCCCUUGGCGCGGGUGAAGGGCCCGGGGACCUUUACCGUGCGAUGCCAGCGUGUGCCGGGCAGGGCAGCUCCAGCCUGCGUCUGCGUUGUGGUGUA